ensembl:piRNA 21ur-3086 ncRNA
UCUUAGUUGGCUGUUCUAUUU